UAAAACAUUCUGUAGAGUACUGUAUUUCUCUCAAAACAAAUGCUUCACAAUGUGCUUCUCAGAGGGAGGAAAUCAUAUGUACUGUAUUUCAAAGCCUUUAUGGACUUGGCAUACCCUUUAAGAAGUCUAGAGCAGUAUCAACAUUGAGAAAUGAAUGCCCAUUAGACCCAGCCAGACAUUCACUACGGGCAUAUAACUUCCUUUUAUGUACAUUUAUGGAAUUGUCUGUGAAGUGGAUGAUCAUAUUGCUCAGUUCAUACUUAGGCAGACUUUGGUUUUGACAAAGCAGCAUUCUGAGAGAGUUGGACAAUACCCAAAGUUAGACAAACCCAAUGCUGCCAAACCACUAAACUCAAAGCCGACAUUUUGGAUUUGCAGACACAUUCUCAGAGGAUUUCUUCCCACCUGAUUUCUUCCAAUGUCUGCUGAAGUAGAUAUUUAAAGCUCUCAAGCACUGAAAAUUCCAUAAACAAUGUAUUUUGUGGCUCAGAUAUAAUCCCUUUACUAAUCUGUGUGUCUUACUGUAAUUACAGGGAUAUUGUGGGGGUUUGUUAUUUAUCCUUAUAGACCUAAUUCAACUGUCUGAAAACAGAAUAUUGCAUUUCAAAAGUUAUGUUCAUAUUUAGUUCUGGCAGUUGCAUGUCCAGAUAUGUCAGUAACAUUAAACUUAAUGAACCGAUACAAGCAUGGUUACGACCAUAUUUAUCUUCAUAGUUCAUAUCUUUUGUUUUAGGAUUCCUUCCAAGGAAACUCUCCUGAGCAAUCUCCAAAACCAACAUGGAGCUCCAGUCAAAGCAAACUGUCUCAAUCAUCAACAUCGUGAUACUGGUAUCAUCCCGGCCCCACUGAAAAGGAGAACUACAAAGCCUAAACCAUAGUCCACAGCCGCUGAGGCGUGAUAGUCCAGCGUCCUAUUGUGACAUAGCUACAUAUCUCUGAGACCACCAUCCGCGGGGGAAGCACACCUGCCGACAAUUCAAAAACCAGCGCGGCUCCGCAGUCUCCCAGUCCCUGGCGUGAAAAGUGUCCCCACA